rnacentral:rRNA from 1 species
AAAUAGUGAUAUAGAGCAAAACCCUAAAAACGGUCUCAGUUCGGAUUGAAGGCUGAAAUUCGCCUUCAUGAAGCUGGAAUUGCUAGUAAUGGCAGGUCAGCAUACUGCCGUGAAUACGUUCCCGGGCCUUGUACACACCGCCCGUCACACCAUGAGAGUUGGGAAUACCCGAAGCCUGUGAGCUAACAUAUGAGGCAGCAGUCGAAGGUAGAAUCAAUGAUUGGGGUGAAGUCGUAACAAGGUACC